rnacentral:rRNA from 1 species
AUGAACGCUGGCGGCGUGCCUAAUACAUGCAAGUCGAGCGAACGGACGAGAAGCUUGCUUCUCUGAUGUUAGCGGCGGACGGGUGAGUAACACGUGGAUAACCUACCUAUAAGACUGGGAUAACUUCGGGAAACCGUAGCUAAUACCGGAUAAUAUUUUGAACCGCAUGGUUCAAAAGUGAAAGACGGUCUUGCUGUCACUUAUAGAUGGAUCCGCGCUGCAUUAGCUAGUUGGUAAGGUAACGGCUUACCAAGGCAACGAUGCAUAGCCGACCUGAGAGGGUGAUCGGCCACACUGGAACUGAGACACGGUCCAGACUCCUACGGGAGGCAGCAGUAGGGAAUAUUCCGCAAUGGGCGAAAGCCUGACGGAGCAACGCCGCGUGAGUGAUGAAGGUCUUCGGAUCGUAAAACUCUGUUAUUAGGGAAGAACAUAUGUGUAAGUAAAUGUGCACAUCUUGACGGUACCUAAUCAGAAAGCAACGGCUAACUACGUG